AGUCCUUUUUUCUCUUCAAAAAAAAAAAAACAAAAAAUCAGAUACUUGUAACGGUUUAGCUAAUAGACGUUCAUUAAGUAUUCAUUAAAAGUAAUUAGAUUCUCAAAAAAAAAGUAUCACAAAUCAGGAAAUGCAAUAAAUAUGAAUGUAUAUAUUUAUAUGAUAACUUAGAUGUGACUUAGGUGUCGUUUUAAGUGCUUCUUAGGUACCAUUAGAAAAAUUCUAUAUAUAAUUGAUAAAAAAUAGAAAAAUAACAAACUUUUAAAAUCCAAGAUAUUGCACCAAAUAUAAAACAGAUAUUGAAGUUAGAUGGAAUGGAAAUAGUUAACUCAAACACCAACCGAUGGCUACUUUCCAUUGAAUCUACCCGGGCAAUUCAAUUUUGCUACCUUUAAUCAAUGAUGAAAAGGUGAUACAUGAUGUGAGGAGAGAAGACAAAUUAAGAAAUCUACUAAUAUUUGAUUUUAGAAAAAAGAAAAAAAAUAAUAAGUGAACAUCUACAAAAUGAAAGAGAACGAAGAGCUGUUUAAAUCGAUCCCAUAUGAAUUUCAUUACAAAGAAGGAAAAAAUGUAAUUGGUUUACAAUUGUCAAAUUAUAAGGAAUAUUUGAGAUUUGACAGAUCUGAUUAGAAGAUAAUUAAUUUCCAAUUGACCAACUACGAGAAGAAGAAAAGAAAAGGGCAUAGAGUUUACUUGAUAGCUGGCCAUAUUACGAGAGAAGAAUUUUUUUACCAGAGCAACUUUCAAUUAAAUACCAACACUACCCUUGACGAGUCAAAGUCUCAAUCUCAUCAAUUGAAUUGCAUGAUCCCACCACAUCUUUAGUUUGUGAUUUAUUCAGUUUCUCCCCC
rnacentral:lncRNA from 1 species